GGCAGUAUAUCAUAGGGGUUAAGAGUGCUGGCUCUGAAGCCAAACUCCCUGGGUUUGCAUCCCAGUUCUGCCA
rnacentral:tRNA from 1 species